rnacentral:rRNA from 1 species
GAUGAACGCUGGCGGCGUGCCUAAUACAUGCAAGUCGAGCGAACAGACGAGGAGCUUGCUCCUCUGACGUUAGCGGCGGACGGGUGAGUAACACGUGGAUAACCUACCUAUAAGACUGGGAUAACUUCGGGAAACCGGAGCUAAUACCGGAUAACAUGUUGAACCGCAUGGUUCAACAGUGAAAGACGGUCUUGCUGUCACUUAUAGAUGGAUCCGCGCCGCAUUAGCUAGUUGGUAAGAUAACGGCUUACCAAGGCAACGAUGCGUAGCCGACCUGAGAGGGUGAUCGGCCACACUGGAACUGAGACACGGUCCAGACUCCUACGGGAGGCAGCAGUAGGGAAUCUUCCGCAAUGGGCGAAAUCCUGACGGAGCAACGCCGCGUGAGUGAAGAAGGUCUUCGGAUCGUAAAACUCUGUUAUUAGGGAAGAACAAAUGUGUAAGUAACUAUGCACGUCUUGACGGUACCUAAUCAGAAAGCCACGGCUAACUACGUG